UAACAAUUGAGUUUGAUGAUGGCUCUGAUUGAACGCUAUCCAAGUGCUUGACACAUGCUAAUUAGACGGCAUAAUAAAUCAAUAGUUAUGUAGUAAUGUACAGGUGAGUAGAUAAUAUUUUGGCUACCUUAAAGUAAGGUUAGAUACCUUAUAAAUAAAGAAACGAGAGUUUUGCUUUAAGAUGAGAAUAAAUAUUGCGGGUAAAAUAAUAGUAGUAGUUAAAGUAAUAAUUUAACUAGCUAAUUACCGUAAUCGUGACUGAGAGGUCGAUCGAUCACAUUGGGUCUGAGAAAACCCCAAUGCAUAUUAGUACAGCAGUGAGGAAUAUUGGUCAAUGGCUUAACGGCUGAACCAGCAACUUGGAAGAAAGUAGAUAAUAUAAAUAUAUAGAAUAUUAUUAUUUAAUUUCUAAAUAGAUUUAUGAUUAUGACUUUAAUCUAUUUAUAAGUCUUGACUAAAUUACGUGCCAGCAGUCGCGGUAAUACGUAGAAGACAAGUGUUAAUCAUCUUUAUUAGGUUUAAAGGGUACCUAGACGGUAAAUUUAAUCUGAAUUAAGUUAUUAGUUUACUAGAGUUUUAUCUGAGAAAGAGAGAACUUUUAGAGGAAAGAUAUAAUUUUUUUAUACUAAAAGGACUGAUAACAGCGUAGGCAACUUUCUAAAUAUAAACUGACGUUGAGGGACGAAGGCAUGGGUAACGAAAAGGAUUAGAUACCCUAAUAGUCCAAGCAGAAAAUUAUGAAUGCUAUAAGUUAGUUUGAUUUUAACUUAUAAAUGAAAGUUUAAGCAUUCCACCUUAAGAGUAAGAUGGCAACAUUGAAACUGAAAUCAUUAGACCGUUUCUGAGAACAGUAGUGAAGUAUGUGUGCGACAAGUAAGCAGAUUUUAGUAAUGUAGUCCUAUUCUACUAGAUUAUUUCUCCA
rnacentral:rRNA from 1 species